rnacentral:rRNA from 1 species
GCGCUCGUCCAUCUUAUAAGUCGUAACGACUCUCGGCAACGGAUAUCUCGGCUCUCGCAUCGAUGAAGAACGUAGCGAAAUGCGAUACUUGGUGUGAAUUGCAGAAUCCCGUGAACCAUCGAGUCUUUGAACGCAAGUUGCGCCCGAGGCCGUCAGGCCGAGGGCACGCCUGCCUGGGCGUCACGCA